rnacentral:lncRNA from 1 species
AUGAAGAAAAAGAUUCUGAAAUUGCUGCCAAAAGAUUCAGACAAUACUUCAAGAUGCGGCAGAUACUUCUUGAUAAGACAGACUGGGUGAAUGUGAAAUGGACACAUGGUGUCUUGAACCACAGCAUACAGGAAGAUGGUUGCAGCUGUGGUGUUUAUGUCAUGCAGGUAACUAUACAAUUUUAUGUAGCCUUGGAACAACACACAUUUUUGCAUAACCUCAAUAGUGUAAUAUUUCAAUUUCUUAUUCUGCUAUGUCUAAUUUAUUUUGCAAGUUUAUUUAAUUAUAUUUAUAUUACCCAACAGAUGGCUAAGGAGACAGUGGAGGCUUUUCCAGUGACACCACCUGAAAUCGUGAUACCUUCCAAUAAGCACCUCCUGUCAGAGCUGCGUAAGGAGAUGGCUGUAACAAUCCUAGAAUCAUCAGUAUUCAACCCCAAAGUUCAUUGCUCCCUGUGUGGAAAAGAGUCUCCUGUUGGAGGUGUGGGUCUGAACACAUGGAUUCAGUGCAGCAACUGUGAAAGAUGGUACCACUCUGUCUGUGUCAACAUGACGAAAAAGGAGAUACACAAAUAUGCCAAAACCCACUGAUGUGAUGCUAACCGUGCCAGUAUACCAGCAACAGCAGUAUGGCGUCUCCAGGUUCCUGAAGAUCAAGCCACUGGCUUUGGGGGUAAAAACACACUGUUCCACAUCAAGAGAAGUAUUCAGUGUGUAUGAAGAAACAGGCAUUUUAUCGUAUGUUUUUGUCUCACAGAUUUUGGAACUAUUGCUAGCCUUAUUGGGACUCUGUUUGACAAUCUGGAAUGUUCAUUUUUCUCUUCUCUGGUCACCAAUCAGCGUAAGUCGAUCAUUUUAAUAUCAAAACAAUAUUAUACAAUGAACAAAUACUGAAUUCUGUUCCAUUUCUGUUCUGCAGUUCAUUUUAACUGGAGUAUUAACAGUCUCGGCAGCAAGCACGUGUAAACCAUGUCUGGUUAGUGUCAGUUUAAAAAAAACUUGUAAUAUUUUUGCUUAAGGGGAACUUUAUGGGUUUUAUUUUAAAACAGAUCUUUUGUACUAUAGGUCAAAUCCUCACAAAUGCUCAGUUAUUUCAAUGCGGCAGCAGCAGCUCUGUCUCUCUGCUUUCAUUUUUAUUACACUUGGGUAAGUGGUUGCUUUGAAACUCACACACGUACAAAAUAUAUUAAAACAAU